rnacentral:lncRNA from 1 species
GUGUGUGUUUGGUUUGUUCAUGUACUGAUUUUGUGUCAUGGAUGGAUACCCUAUAUUCUUUGUUUUUUGUUUGUGUUUGGUUUGUUCAUGUACUGAUUUUGUGUCAUGGAUGGAUUCCCUAUAUCCUUUGUUUUUUGUGUGUGUUUGGUUUGUUCAUGUACUGAUUUUGUGUCAUGGAUGGAUACCCUAUAUAUUUUGUUUUUUGUUUGUGUUUGGUUUGUUCAUGUACUGAUUUUGUGUCAUGCAUGGAUACCCUAUAUCCUUUGUUUUUUGUGUGUGUUUGGUUUGUUCAUGUACUGAUUUUGUUUCAUAGAUGGAUUCCCUAUAUCCUUUGUUUUU